rnacentral:rRNA from 1 species
AUGAACGCUGGCGGCGUGCCUAAUACAUGCAAGUCGAGCGAACAGACGAGGAGCUUGCUCCUCUGACGUUAGCGGCGGACGGGUGAAUAACACGUGGAUAACCUACCUAUAAGACUGGGAUAACUUCGGGAAACCGGAGCUAAUACCGGAUAAUAUAUUGAACCGCAUGGUUCAAUAGUGAAAGACGGUUUUGCUGUCACUUAUAGAUGGAUCCGCGCCGCAUCAGCUAGUUGGUAAGGUAACGGCUUACCAAGGCAACGAUGCGUAGCCGACCUGAGAGGGUGAUCGGCCACACUGGAACUGAGACACGGUCCAGACUCCUACGGGAGGCAGCAGUAGGGAAUCUUCCGCAAUGGGCGAAAGCCUGACGGAGCAACGCCGCGUGAGUGAUGAAGGUCUUCGGAUCGUAAAACUCUGUUAUUAGGGAAGAACAAAUGUGUAAGUAACUAUGCACGUCUUGACGGUACCUAAUCAGAAAGCCACGGCUAACUACGUG